rnacentral:lncRNA from 7 species
GAAAGUCUCCCACCUGCCGCCUUUCACAAUUGCAUGGCCGUUUAUGGAAAACAGUCGGUUACAUUGCAAACUAAACUGAACUCCUAUUUUCUAUAAUUAUGAGACGUACUGUGAGUCCAGAAGGAAAAUCCCUACUGCAGAGACGCACAAAAGCACGGAGCAUUUGUGCUGCUCUUCUCAAGAGGAGCAUUUCCAAAAGAGGGCACCAGGGUGUAGGAAGAGAUGACAACGCACCAAUUGGAGUGAUGGUGUCCUGCUCGGAAAUGGAUGUGCUGGAUGGCAGAAGAGGAUUCUUGGCCAAGUAUGGAAUCAUCUCUGUUCCUUCACAAAGGUAAAUUUUUAAAAGGUAAACACACAGAGGUGGAUUUGCAGGAUGCCUUGAAGGAGGUGACCCUCACUUGACAUCAGUCAGGUAUUUCAGUGCAGCUGAGAUUAAGGAGACGUUACAAAGCUCUGAAAAUGUUCCUGAAUGUUGUUCAAUUGUCUAAAAGAAUACAAGCAAUGCAAAAAACAAGGAAGGAAAGGAGCAGAACAGCACCAACUGCAUGUCCUGAACAGAAUCCAGCUUUAAUAGAGAUUAAAAAUUAUUCCCAUUCCUUUUUCUUCUUAGUGACUUAAUUUGUUCUCACCUUCUCUCUCUGCUCUCUCCA